UACGGAGGGGGCUAGCGUUGUUCGGAAUUACUGGGCGUAAAGCGGGGGUAGGCGGAAGUCUAAGUCGGGGGUGAAAGCCCCUGGCUCAACCUCGGAAUUGCCUUCGAUACUGGUGAUCUAGAGGACUGGAGAGGGUAGUGGAAUUCCGAGUGUAGAGGUGAAAUUCGUAGAUAUUCGGAAGAACACCAGUGGCGAAGGCGGCUAACUGGCCCAUUUCUGACGCUGAGGUGCGAAAGCGAGGGGAGCAAACAGG
rnacentral:rRNA from 1 species